rnacentral:rRNA from 1 species
ACAGAGGUCCCAAGCGUUGUUCGGAUUCACUGGGCGUAAAGCGUGCGUAGGUGGUUCGUUAAGUCUGAUGUGAAAGCCCUGGGCUCAACCUGGGAAUGGCAUUGGAUACUGGCGACCUAGAGUGCGGUAGAGGGUAGCGGAAUUCCCGGUGUAGCAGUGAAAUGCGUAGAUAUCGGGAGGAACAUCCGUGGCGAAGGCGGCUACCUGGACCAGCACUGACACUGAGGCACGAAAGCGUGGGGAGCAAACAGGA